rnacentral:rRNA from 1 species
AACGAACGCUGGCGGCAGGCUUAACACAUGCAAGUCGAACGAGUGGCAGACGGGUGAGUAACGCGUGGGAACAUACCCUUUCCUGCGGAAUAGCUCGGAAACUGAAUUAAUACCGCAUAGGGAAGGAUUGGCCCGCGUUGGAUUAGCUAGUUGGUGGGGUAAAGGCUACCAAGGCGACGAUCCAUAGCUGGUCUGAGAGGAUGAUCAGCCACAUUUGGACUGCGACACGGCCCAAACUCCUACGGGAGGCAGCAGUGGGGAAUAUUUGACAAUGGGCGCAAGCCUGAUGCAGCCAUGCCGCGUGUAUGAAGAAGGCUUCGGGUUGUAAAGUACUUUCAGCGGGAGGCGUUACCGCAGAAGAAGCACCGGCUAACUCCGUGCCAGCAGCCGCGGUAAUUC